GCCAGCGUGGCUUAGUGGUCUGAGCGCCGGACUAAGAUUCUGGGGACCAGGGUUCGAGUCCCACUGUGUGACG